rnacentral:rRNA from 1 species
GACGAACGUUGGCGGCGUGCUUAACACAUGCAAGUCGAACGGAAAGGCCCUGCUUUUGUGGGGUGCUCGAGUGGCGAACGGGUGAGUAACACGUGAGUAACCUGCCCUUGACUUUGGGAUAACUUCAGGAAACUGGGGCUAAUACCGGAUAGGAGCUCCUGCUGCAUGGUGGGGGUUGGAAAGUUUCGGCGGUUGGGGAUGGACUCGCGGCUUAUCAGCUUGUUGGUGGGGUAGUGGCUUACCAAGGCUUUGACGGGUAGCCGACCUGAGAGGGUGACCGGCCACACUGGAACUGAGACAAGGUCAAGACGCCUACGGGAGGAAGCAGUAGGGAGUCUGCCGCAAGGGGGGAAAGCCGGACGGAGCAACGCCGCGUGAGGGAUGACGGUCGUCGGAUCGUAAAACUGGGUUAUUAGUGAAGAACAUAUGUGUACGUAACUGUGCACAGCGUGACGGUACAUAAUCAGAAAGCCACGGCUAACUACGUG